rnacentral:rRNA from 1 species
AGAGUUUGAUCCUGGCUCAGGAUGAACGCUAGCUACAGGCUUAACACAUGCAAGUCGAGGGGCAGCAUGGUCUUAGCUUGCUAAGGCCGAUGGCGACCGGCGCACGGGUGAGUAACACGUAUCCAACCUGCCGUCUACUCUUGGACAGCCUUCUGAAAGGAAGAUUAAUACAAGAUGGCAUCAUGAGUCCGCAUGUUCACAUGAUUAAAGGUAUUCCGGUAGACGAUGGGGAUGCGUUCCAUUAGAUAGUAGGCGGGGUAACGGCCCACCUAGUCUUCGAUGGAUAGGGGUUCUGAGAGGAAGGUCCCCCACAUUGGAACUGAGACACGGUCCAAACUCCUACGGGAGGCAGCAGUGAGGAAUAUUGGUCAAUGGGCGAGAGCCUGAACCAGCCAAGUAGCGUGAAGGAUGACUGCCCUAUGGGUUGUAAACUUCUUUUAUAAAGGAAUAAAGUCGGGUAUGCAUACCCGUUUGCAUGUACUUUAUGAAUAAGGAUCGGCUAACUCCGUGCCAGCAGCCGCGGUAAUACGGAGGAUCCGAGCGUUAUCCGGAUUUAUUGGGUUUAAAGGGAGCGUAGAUGGAUGUUUAAGUCAGUUGUGAAAGUUUGCGGCUCAACCGUAAAAUUGCAGUUGAUACUGGAUAUCUUGAGUGCAGUUGAGGCAGGCGGAAUUCGUGGUGUAGCGGUGAAAUGCUUAGAUAUCACGAAGAACUCCGAUUGCGAAGGCAGCCUGCUAAGCUGCAACUGACAUUGAGGCUCGAAAGUGUGGGUAUCAAACAGGAUUAGAUACCCUGGUAGUCCACACGGUAAACGAUGAAUACUCGCUGUUUGCGAUAUACAGCAAGCGGCCAAGCGAAAGCGUUAAGUAUUCCACCUGGGGAGUACGCCGGCAACGGUGAAACUCAAAGGAAUUGACGGGGGCCCGCACAAGCGGAGGAACAUGUGGUUUAA